rnacentral:rRNA from 1 species
AGUGAACGCUGGCGGUAGGCCUAACACAUGCAAGUCGAACGGCAGCACAGUAAGAGCUUGCUCUUACGGGUGGCGAGUGGCGGACGGGUGAGGAAUACAUCGGAAUCUACUUUUUCGUGGGGGAUAACGUAGGGAAACUUACGCUAAUACCGCAUACGACCUACGGGUGAAAGCAGGGGAUCUUCGGACCUUGCGCGAUUGAAUGAGCCGAUGUCGGAUUAGCUAGUUGGCGGGGUAAAGGCCCACCAAGGCGACGAUCCGUAGCUGGUCUGAGAGGAUGAUCGGCCACACUGGAACUGAGACACGGUCCAGACUCCUACGGGAGGCAGCAGUGGGGAAUAUUGGACAAAGGGCGCAAGCCUGAUCCAGCCAUACCGCGUGGGUGAAGAAGGCCUUCGGGUUGUAAAGCCCUGUUGUUGGGAAAGAAAAGCAGCAGGUUAAUACCCCGCUGUUCUGACGGUACCCAAAGAAUAAGCACCGGCUAACUUCGUG